CCACGGGGGGCAGCAGUGGGGAAUAUUGGACAAUGGGCGAAAGCCUGAUCCAGCCAUGCCGCGUGUGUGAAGAAGGCCUUCGGGUUGUAAAGCACUUUCAGUGGGGAAGAAAGCCUUGGGGCUAAUACCCUCGAGGAAGGACAUCACCCACAGAAGAAGCACCGGCUAACUCCGUGCCAGCAGCCGCGGUAAUACGGAGGGUGCGAGCGUUAAUCGGAAUUACUGGGCGUAAAGCGCGCGUAGGCGGUCUGAUAAGCCGGUUGUGAAAGCCCCGGGCUCAACCUGGGAACGGCAUCCGGAACUGUCAGGCUAGAGUGCAGGAGAGGAAGGUAGAAUUCCCGGUGUAGCGGUGAAAUGCGUAGAGAUCGGGAGGAAUACCAGUGGCGAAGGCGGCCUUCUGGACUGACACUGACGCUGAGGUGCGAAAGCGUGGGUAGCAAACAGGAUUAGAUACCCGAGUAGUC
rnacentral:rRNA from 1 species